GAGACCUCAGGUCAGGCGGGGCUACCCGCUGAAUUUAAGCAUAUU
rnacentral:rRNA from 1 species